rnacentral:lncRNA from 1 species
UACACUAGCCCCUAGCAAGAGAGUCAACCUGUCCUUUGAAGCCAUGAAGCCAGGCAUUGACUUCGCACUUUAUGUUAUAGAGGUGACUUCCUUCCUCAGCCUCAUGAACCAACCUCUGCUACCUUCAGACUUUUCUUCUGAAGCUUCCUCACCUCUCUCAGCUUCACAGAAUUGAAGAGACUUAGGGCCUUGCCCUGGAUUAGGCUUUGGUUUAA